AUACGUAGGUGGCAAGCGUUGUCCGGAAUUAUUGGGCGUAAAGCGCGCGCAGGUGGUUCCUUAAGUCUGAUGUGAAAGCCCCCGGCUCAACCGGGGAGGGUCAUUGGAAACUGGGGAACUUGAGUGCAGAAGAGGAUAGUGGAAUUCCAAGUGUAGCGGUGAAAUGCGUAGAGAUUUGGAGGAACACCAGUGGCGAAGGCGACUGUCUGGUCUGUAACUGACACUGAGGCGCGAAAGCGUGGGGAGCAAACAGGAUUAGAUACCCUGGUAGUCCACGCCGUAAACGAUGAGUGCUAAGUGUUGGGGGGUUUCCGCCCCUCAGUGCUGCAGCUAACGCAUUAAGCACUCCGCCUGGGGAGUACGGUCGCAAGACUGAAACUCAAAGGAAUCGACGGGG
rnacentral:rRNA from 1 species